GCUGACCUCGGAUCAGCUCUGUUGCCUCCGGGGCGACCCUGCCUUCGGGCGGGGGCUCCGGGUGGACACUUCAAACUCAAGCGUAACUUUGCAGUCGGAGUAAACUUAAUUAAUAAAUUAAAACUUUUAACAACGGAUCUCUUGGUUCUGGCAUCGAUGAAGAACGCAGCGAAAUGCGAUAAGUAAUGUGAAUUGCAGAAUUCAGUGAAUCAUCGAAUCUUUGAACGCACAUUGCGCCCCCUGGUAUUCCGGGGGGCAAGCCUGUUCGAGCGUCAUUUCACCACUCAAGCCUCGCUUGGUAUUGGGCAUCGCGGUCCGCCGCGUGCCUCAAAUCGACCGGCUGGGUCAUACGUCCCCUAAGCGUUGUGGAAACUAUUCGCUAAAGGGAUUCGGGAGGCUACGCCGUAAAACAACCCCAUUUCUACGGCUGACCUCGGAUCAG
rnacentral:rRNA from 1 species